GUGCUCGCGUCAGCAGCACGUAUACUAGAAUUGGAACGAUACAGAGCAGAUUCGCAUGGCCCCUGCACAAGGAUGACACACAAAUUUGUGAAGUGCUCCGUAUCUUU
ensembl:snRNA U6 U6 spliceosomal RNA